rnacentral:lncRNA from 1 species
ACACACACACAAUGGUACAGUGGUAACCAGUAUUUACCUUAUUUUUCAGAGAAGGGAACAAUCAAUUGAUCAGAUGACGGUGAUCAGAAAAGAUCAUGGUAAGAUCCUAUACUAAUUCCCUCCGUUUUAAUGUACAAAGAAACACACUGGACAUACCCAAUUGUAAACUGUAACUUUUGUGUUCUUGUUCCCACUUUAGUCGGUAGGCCUUUACUAAUGCUGAAAGGCAAUGCAAGUCUAACCAACAGUGAUGGAAGCAACAACACGGAUUCAUUUGCUUAUUCACCCAGACUCACAAAGGGUAAACCAUCAACCUCCUCUCAGCCAGGACCUGACACCAGGAUCCCACCAGUAGUAACCAGGAACCAUUCUGACAUCAUCAGAGAGGCAAUCACUUUAUAA